rnacentral:rRNA from 1 species
AGUGAACGCUGGCGGUAGGCCUAACACAUGCAAGUCGAACGGCAGCACAGUAAGAGCUUGCUCUUACGGGUGGCGAGUGGCGGACGGGUGAGGAAUACAUCGGAAUCUACUUUUUCGUGGGGGAUAACGUAGGGAAACUUACGCUAAUACCGCAUACGACCUACGGGUGAAAGCAGGGGAUCUUCGGCCCUUGCGCGAUUGAAUGAGCCGAUGUCGGAUUAGCUAGUUGGCGGGGUAAAGGCCCACCAAGGCGACGAUCCGUAGCUGGUCUGAGAGGAUGAUCAGCCACACUGGAACUGAGACACGGUCCAGACUCCUACGGGAGGCAGCAGUGGGGAAUAUUGGACAAUGGGCGCAAGCCUGAUCCAGCCAUACCGCGUGGGUGAAGAAGGCCUUCGGGUUGUAAAGCCCUUUUGUUGGGAAAGAAAAGCAGCAGGUUAAUACCCCGCUGUUCUGACGGUACCCAAAGAAUAAGCACCGGCUAACUUCGU